GGUUGUUAUAUCCUCCCCACCUUGUUUUAGAGCUCGUCCUCGAGAUCUACUGGAACAAGUGUGGAUAUUUCUUUUGCAUUUCUGAUUCUAGUUCCCACGUGUAUUCAGGUCCUCUUUUGGAGUCCCAUUUCACUUUGACCAGAACUAAUCUCUUAUGCUUGAGAUUUUUAAUUUUUCUAUCUUCAAUCUGUAGAGGCUUCUCUACAAAUUUGAGUUGUUCAUUAACCUCUAUAUCCUUGAGAGGUACUACGAGUGAUUCAUCAGCUAAACACUUUUUGAGAUUAGAUACAUGAAAUACAUCAUGUAUUCCUGCCAUUUCCUCUGGCAGUUGUAGCUGAUAGGCUACAGGUCCUAUUCUUUUAAGAAUUUUGAAAGGUCCAAUAUACCUAGGACUUAGCUUUCCUCUCUUGAUGAAUCUUACCACUCCUUUCCAGGGAGAGACUUUCAAUAAUACUUUAUCUCCUACUUGAAAUUCUAAUGGUUUGCGUCUGUUAUCGGCAUAACUCUUUUGUCGAUCACGUGCUGCUUUUAGUCUGCUUCGAAUGGUGCAGCAUUGAUACUUGUGUGAUAACUGUUAUUAUAAGAAAAUUCUAUUAAAGGUAAGUGUUCGUCCCAAUUACCUCCAAAAUCAAUUACACAAGCUCUAAGCAUGUCCUCCAUUGUCUGAAUUGUCCUUUCACUUUGUCCGUCCGUUUGAGGAUGAUAAGCUGUGCUUAGAUUUAACCUGGUUCCCAUUGCUUUUUGGAAACUUGACCAAAAAUGAGAGGUAAAACGGCUAUCCCUAUCAGAAACAAUUGAUAAAGGAAUGCCAUGUAAUGAAACAAUUUCAUUUACAUACAAUUUGGCUAAUUGUUCCAUACUAAAGGUUUCCUUCAUUGGUAAGAAAUGAGCUGACUUGGUUAAUCUAUCUACAAUCACCCAGAUU
rnacentral:lncRNA from 1 species